AUUGAACGCUGGCGGCAUGCCUUACACAUGCAAGUCGAACGGCAGCACGGGUGCUUGCACCCGGUGGCGAGUGGCGAACGGGUGAGUAAUACAUCGGAACGUACCUUAUCGUGGGGGAUAACGCAGCGAAAGCUGUGCUAAUACCGCAUACGCCCUAAGGGGGAAAGCGGGGGAUCGCAAGACCUCGCGCGAUUAGAGCGGCCGAUGCCUGAUUAGCUAGUUGGGGGGGUAAAAGCCCACCAAGGCGACGAUCAGUAGCUGGUCUGAGAGGACGAUCAGCCACACUGGGACUGAGACACGGCCCAGACUCCUACGGGAGGCAGCAGUGGGGAAUUUUGGACAAUGGGGGCAACCCUGAUCCAGCAAUGCCGCGUGAGUGAAGAAGGCCUUCGGGUUGUAAAGCUCUUUUGUCAGGGAAGAAACACCGGCUCUAACACAGUCCGGGAAUGACGGUACCUGAAGAAUAAGCACCGGCUAACUACGUGCCAGCCGCCGCAGUAA
rnacentral:rRNA from 1 species